UACGAAGGGUGCAAGCGUUAAUCGGAAUUACUGGGCGUAAAGGGUGCGUAGGCGGUUGUUUAAGUCUGUCGUGAAAUCCCCGGGCUCAACCUGGGAAUGGCGAUGGAUACUGGGCAGCUAGAGUGUGUCAGAGGAUGGUGGAAUUCCCGGUGUAGCGGUGAAAUGCGUAGAGAUCGGGAGGAACAUCAGUGGCGAAGGCGGCCAUCUGGGACAACACUGAUGCUGAAGCACGAAAGCGUGGGGAGCAAACAGG
rnacentral:rRNA from 1 species